rnacentral:rRNA from 1 species
UACAGAGGCCUCGAGCGUUAGGCGGAAUCACUGGGCUUAAAGCGUGUGUAGGCGGACUUCUAAGUACCUUGUGAAAUCCCACGGCUCAACCGUGGAACUGCUUGGUAUACUGGUCGUCUUGAGCCAUCUAGGGGCGAGCGGAACAAGUGGUGGAGCGGUGAAAUGCGUAGAUAUCACUUGGAACGCCAACGGUGAAAACAGCUCGCUGGGGAUGUGCUGACGCUGAGACACGAAAGCCAGGGGAGCGAACGGG